GGCCGGGUGGCGCAAUGGUAGCGCGCGGGCCUCCUAAGCCCGAGGUUGUGGGUUCGAGUCCCACCUCGGUCG